rnacentral:rRNA from 1 species
ACACUGCCAAGAAAAGCUUCUAGUGAGAAAGUAACUGCCCGUACCGCAAACCGACACAGGUAGUUGAGGAGAGAAUCCUAAGGUGUGCGAGAGAACUCUCGUUAAGGAACUCGGCAAAAUGACCCCGUAACUUCGGGAGAAGGGGUGCUGACCGCAAGGUCAGCCGCAGUGAAUAGGCCCAAGCGACUGUUUAUCAAAAACACAGGUCUCUGCAAAAUCGAAAGAUGACGUAUAGGGGCUGACGCCUGCCCGGUGCUGGAAGGUUAAGAGGAGAGGUUAGCGCAAGCGAAGCUUUGAAUUGAAGCCCCAGUAAACGGCGGCCGUAACAAUAACGGUCCUAAGAUAGCGAAAUUCCUUGUCGGGUAAGUUCCGACCCGCACGAAAGGCGUAACGAUUGGGCACUGUCUCAACGAGAGACUCGGUGAAAUUAUAGUACCAGUGAAGAUGCUGGUUACCCGCGACAGGACGGAAAGACCCCAUGGAGCUUUACUGCAGUUUGAUAUUGCGUGUUUGUAUCACAUGUACAGGAUAGGUAGGAGCCGAAGAUACCGGGACGCCAGUCUCGGAGGAGGCAACGGUGGGAUACUACCCUUGUGAUAUGACCACUCUAACCCGCUGCUCUUAGCGAGCAGGGAGACAGUGUCAGACGGGCAGUUUGACUGGGGCGGUCGCCUCCAAAAAUGUAACGGAGGCGCCCAAAGGUUCCCUCAGAAUGGUUGGAAAUCAUUCGUAGAGUGUAAAGGCAGAAGGGAGCUUGACUGCGAGACCUACAAGUCGAGCAGGGACGAAAGUCGGGCAUAGUGAUCCGGUGGUUCCGCAUGGAAGGGCCAUCGCUCAACGGAUAAAAGCUACCCUGGGGAUAACAGGCUUAUCUCCCCCAAGAGUUCACAUCGACGGGGAGGUUUGGCACCUCGAUGUCGGCUCAUCGCAUCCUGGGGCUGUAGUCGGUCCCAAGGGUUGGGCUGUUCGCCCAUUAAAGCGGUACGCGAGCUGGGUUCAGAACGUCGUGAGACAGUUCGGUCCCUAUCCGUCGCGGGCGUUGGAAAUUUGAGAGGAGCUGUCCUUAGUACGAGAGGACCGGGAUGGACACACCGCUGGUGUACCAGUUGUUCUGCCAAGAGCAUCGCUGGGUAGCUAUGUGUGGACGGGAUAAACGCUGAAAGCAUCUAAGCGUGAAGCCCCCCUCAAGAUGAGAUUUCCCAUCACUUUAAGUGAGUAAGACCCCUGAGAGAUGAUCAGGUAGAUAGGUUGGGAGUGGAAGUACAGCGAUGUAUGGAGCGGACCAAUACUAAUCGGUCGAGGACUUAAUCA